AGAGUUUGAUCCUGGCUCAGAAUGAACGCUGGCGGUAGGCUUAACACAUGCAAGUCGAACGGAAACGAUGAAAAGCUUGCUUUUCAGGCGUCGAGUGGCGGACGGGUGAGUAACGCGUGGGAAUCUACCCUAUAGUUGGGGACAACAUAUGGAAACGUAUGCUAAUACCGAAUAUGCUCUACGGAGUAAAGGUGCCCUCUCCUUGGAAGGUAUCGCUAUAGGAUGAGCCCGCGUUAGAUUAGCUAGUUGGUGAGGUAAAGGCUCACCAAGGCGACGAUCUAUAGCUGGUUUGAGAGGAUGAUCAGCCACACUGGGACUGAGACACGGCCCAGACUCCUACGGGAGGCAGCAGUGGGGAAUAUUGCACAAUGGACGCAAGUCUGAUGCAGCCAUACCGCGUGUGUGAAGAAGGCCCGAGGGUUGUAAAGCACUUUCAGUAGGGAGGAAGAGUAUAAGAUUAAUACCCUUAUAUUUUGACGUUACCUACAGAAGAAGCACCGGCUAACUCUGUGCCAGCAGCCGCGGUAAUACAGAGGGUGCAAGCGUUAUUCGGAAUUACUGGGCGUAAAGCGCGCGUAGGCGGAUGAUUAAGUCAGUUGUGAAAGCCCUGGGCUCAACCUAGGAACUGCAUCUGAAACUGGUCAU
rnacentral:rRNA from 1 species